UACGUAGGGGGCAAGCGUUGUCCGGAUUUAUUGGGCGUAAAGAGCUCGUAGGUGGUUCGGUAAGUCGGAUGUGAAAUCUCCAGGCUCAACCUGGAGGGGUCAUUCGAUACUGCCGUGACUAGAGUUCGGUAGGGGAGUGUGGAAUUCCUGGUGGAGCGGUGAAAUGCGCAGAUAUCUGGAGGAACACCGGUGGCGAAGGCGGCAUCCUGGACCGGUAUUGACGCGUGAGGCGCGGAAAGCCAGGGGAGCAAGCGGG
rnacentral:rRNA from 1 species